rnacentral:rRNA from 1 species
UACGGAGGAUCCGAGCGUUAUCCGGAUUUACUGGGCGUAAAGGGAGCGUAGGCGGACUUUUAAGUGAGAUGUGGAAUACCCGGGCUUAACUUGGGUGCUGCAUUUCAAACUGGAAGUCUAGAGUGCAGGAGAGGAGAAUGGAAUUCCAUGUGUAGCGGUGAAAUGCGUAGAUAUAUGGAGGAACACCAGUGGCGAAGGCGACUCUCUGGUCUGUAACUGACGCUGAGGCUCGAAAGCGUGGGGAGCAAACAGGAUUAGAUA